CCUACGGGCGGCAGCAGUAGGGAAUCUUCCACAAUGGACGAAAGCCUGAUGGAGCAACGCCGCGUGGGUGAAGAAGGUCUUCGGAUCGUAAAACCCUGUUGUUAGAGAAGAAAAUGCGUGAGGUUAACUGUUCACGUUUCGACGGUAUCUAACCAGAAAGCGACGCCUAACUACGUGCCAGCAGCCGCGGUAAUACGUAGGAGGCAAGCGUUAUGCGGAAUGACUGGGCGUAAAGGGUGCGUAGGUGGUUUGACAAGUUAGUAGCGCAACUCCGGAGCUCAACUUCGGAACUACUACUAAAACUGUUGGACUUGAGUGCAGGAGGGGCAAUCGGAAUUCCUAGUGUAGCGGUGGAAUGCGUAGAUAUUAGGAGGAACACCAGUGGCGAAGGCGGAUUGCUAGACUGUAACUGACACUGAGGCACGAAAGCGUGGGGAGCAAACAGGAUUAGAUACCCCAGUAGUC
rnacentral:rRNA from 1 species